GUCGAGAAUCUUUCACAAUGGGGGCAACCCUGAUGGAGCGACGCCGCGUGGAGGAUAAGGUCUUCGGAUUGUAAACUCCUGUCAUGCGUGAACAAGGUUGCAGGGAUAAUACCUCUGCAAAUUGAUAGUAUCGCAAGAGGAAGAGACGGCUAACUCUGUGCCAGCAGCCGCGGUAAUACAGAGGUCUCAAGCGUUGUUCGGAAUCACUGGGCGUAAAGGGUGCGUAGGUGGCGUGGCAAGUCAGAUGUGAAAGCCCGGGGCUCAACCUCGGAACUGCAUCCGAUACUGCCAUGCUGGAGUACUGGAGAGGUGACUAGAAUUCUCGGUGUAGCAGUGAAAUGCGUAGAUAUCGAGAGGAAUACCAAAGGCGUAGGCAGGUCACUGGACAGUUACUGACACUGAGGCACGAAGGCCAGGGGAGCGAACGGGAUUAGAAACCCGGGUAGUCC
rnacentral:rRNA from 1 species